GUCCUCCUUCCAUUUAAAAAAAAAAUGUUGGUUAAUAAGUGGAUGUCGUCAUGGAGUGCAUUAUAUUAAACCUCGUGUCUUACACUUAAAUAACAGAAUAACUGUCCGUUCAACCAAGACUCAAUUCAUCGCCACAGGAAAAGCAAAAAAAAAAAGAGCAAAAAAAAAAAAACCCAAAUCCUUCAACUAAAUUGGAGGUUUUUCAACCACAUUUCGCGCGAGAAUGAGUCAAGCCUUCGUGUCGAGUCACAUCCGAAUGUACCUAAUGGAGUGGCCCGGGUGUGUCAGCUUAUAUCCGGUCAGUUUUUUGUUGUUGUUGUUGUUUUUUUUUCUCCAAACCACCUCUCAACACGCCACACGUUAUUUGUAUCUCGACUCUUUUUUUUCCAAACUUUUGUGUCGCUCGACUCGUCUUGCAGUAAGCAUCACACUGACGCUAGACGGGAGCUGGCGUGUUUUUUGUACGGCGUGGGAGUGCUUUCCAUCCCACCCGCGUGUCUCGUACAAUGGUGCCUUGUGACAUUGGGAUCUCAAAUCGUAUUUCCCCCAUUGAAAUGAAUGGAAAGGACACGAAUCUGUAUUGAAGAAGGAAAAAUAGCACUGUUGAAUGUUGUAUUGUAUAAAAGCGGAGCGAUAACAAAAUCAAAUAGAAUGUCAAGAACAAAACCGCCUGUGUGUGUGUGGUGAUUUCAGUUUGCUCAAUUCAAUGCCGCUCCUUUCGGUGGAGCCGCCGGGACGCGCGCGGUCUACGACAGGCGUGCGGACUGAAACGACGAAGAAAUGUGCUUUUUCUGCUCAGUGACUCAAGAUGGUGUCAUCGUAGUCGCUUUCCCAAGAGGAGAAAAAAAUUCACACCUUUGUGAAUGAUCUGUCGAUGACUCGUUCGCUCGUCGUCGUGAAGUGAGUCGAAUCGCGUUCACGGCCACCGUACGGCAUUCGCAUCUUUCCGAAUGACGGCCCACGUUCUCCGAAAAACUCGGGUGGCUCGUAUCUCAAGGCACCACUGUACCUUCAUGACGUCCGAAGGGCUUCGGCGACGGAUGCGAUUUUUGUCGCGGAGCCGCCGGCGGGAAGCUUUUUCAUUUCUUUUCGGAACGCUUUCAUCGGUCCCGUCAACGCGCCUCGUGCGGCAAAAACGACUAUGCAGUGUCACGUCAUGUCUUAACUGGUUGGAAUUCGUCGAAGGCCUUUCUUUCUUUUCCUGAAGCGUCGAGCGCGACGUUUCGGAAGUUCUUCCCACCGUCGAUUGUGUCGCGCUUGUCGAGUACUGCGAGGAGCAACUUUGGGUGUCACGCUGGUCAAUGGAGGUCACUUUUGUUUGUGGAUCUUGCGCCAGAUUUUGGUGUUUGCUUCAACACAAAAGCAGUGUAUUGAUUUUUCUUUGUGUGUGUUGACAUUUGAAGGAGGUUUAGUGUUCACAUGCAAAUGUUCGCAAUUGUGCAUCACGUGAAUUGAAUUUCCGUCUGCAAUUGGGCGCUCCCACUGGAUUAGUGUCAGGAAGUGAGUCAGUCAGUCGGUCGGCCGGUCGGUCGGUGGUAUACUUUGACAAGUUUGGUUCAAAUCGUGGAUGUUGAGUUGCUUGGAUAUGGACUUGCCUCAUCGGCUCCCUGAUUUGAGUGAGUGUUUUGCCGAAAACGCUCGUGGACUGACACGAGUUUUCGAUAUCACAAUAACAUACCUUGAUGCCUUUUUGUUGUCUUCCAUGGGGGAGAUGUACAAUGUGUAUAAUGUAUGAAACUCUUUAUUUAUAAGUCAACCCAAUAAAAGUUCAGUACUCGGA